GGGUAUAGGAGAUAAAAUCGAGUAUAGCUCUUCCGGUGGCUGAUGUGGGAUCGGACUGUUGAGUUGGCACUUUUCACAUUUCUUGACAUACUCUGUAGCUUCCUUGAAAAUUGUAGGCCAAUAGUAUCCUUGUCGAAGUACUUUGUAAGCCAAAGAUUUAGCAGCCAUAUGAUCACCGCAAAUGCCCUCGUGAACUUCCCGAAGAGCAUAUUCCGCCUCAGAUGGGACCAGGCACUUCAGUAAUGGUGAAGAAAAGGCCAAUCGGUAAAGAUCGCCAUCAAUAAGAGUAAAGUUGGCGCUCUUGUAUUUGAUCUUCUUUGCUAACAUCUGAUCCGAAGGAAGGACGCCAUCUGCCAAAU
rnacentral:lncRNA from 1 species